rnacentral:rRNA from 1 species
UACAGAGGGGGCAAGCGUUAUUCGGAAUUAUUGGGCGUAAAGGGCGCGUAGGCGGCUUGGCAAGUGGAUGGUGAAAUCCCUCGGCUUAACCGAGGAACUGCCGUCCAAACUGCUUCGCUUGAGACCGGGAGAGGUGAGUGGAAUUCCCAGUGUAGCGGUGAAAUGCGUAGAUAUUGGGAGGAACACCAGUGGCGAAGGCGGCUCACUGGACCGGUACUGACGCUGAGGCACGAAAGCCAGGGGAGCAAACGGG